CCCACCAUCACAGAAUCAUGGAACAGUUGAAAUUGGAAGAAACCUCCAGAGACCACUGACUCCAACCCGACUGCUAAAGCAGGUUCCCUCCAACAAAUUGCACAAGGGAGCCCGGAGCAUAACUCCAAGGUUGCAAGAAAAAAUGGGAUUCAGCUACUUUGAUUCUUUUGUAUCAAUGUUUCUCUGCAUCAGUUUUCUUCUUUGUCUGGGAUAUGAACUUCUCAGUGGAGAGAAGAAAGCACUGGGAUUGUAUCGAUUAUUUCACAGUCAGGUAAUUGCAGGAAAAUAUCUACCUCUAUGAAGCAGGCCAAAUGCACAUCCCUGCAGUCAGUCUAGUUUCCUAAAGGCAAGACCUAUUUUAUCCUAAUGACUUUAGCAAGUCUAUUUUUAUUGGAGAACUGGAAAAUGUUCUUUCCUCUCAACUAGCGGAACGAAAUAACUCUUUCUGAUGUCUGUAAUUCAAGCUGCUCUCAUCACCAAUCCAUUUAGAAAAGGAAUCCUGCAUCUGCGAUUGUGGAUUAAAUUCUUUUGUCUGUGUGCUGGCUUUGAGGGAGACUAGCACUCCCAAAUCAUUGAAGUGCUUCUACAAACGCUGUGCAGAACACACAGCUCUGAGGAGAGAGCCUGUGCUCCUGAACAGCUGUGUUUGCUGUUCUGAGUCCAUUAGUGAGAAGUGUGAUGUUUCACAGCAGUUGCUACACAGUGAAUAUGGAUUAUUGACAGAAACGUUACUGUAUUUGAUAUAUUGAAGAUCUUUUUGCUUAGAAGAUGUGAGUGACUUUGAGAAUGGUAUUUUACUAACAGUAGUGUAUGUUUCAGUGCUGGCUUGACCACGUGUAUCAAGUGUACUUGUAUACAUGGGCUUCUGUCCCCAGAUUCCCUGUAUAAUAAAUCGUC